rnacentral:rRNA from 1 species
GACGAACGCUGGCGGCGUGCCUAAUACAUGCAAGUAGAACGCUGAAGAGAGGAGCUUGCUCUUCUUGGAUGAGUUGCGAACGGGUGAGUAACGCGUAGGUAACCUGCCUGGUAGCGGGGGAUAACUAUUGGAAACGAUAGCUAAUACCGCAUGACAUUGAUUAUCGCAUGAUAAUUGAUUGAAAGAUGCAAUUGCAUCACUACCAGAUGGACCUGCGUUGUAUUAGCUAGUUGGUGAGGUAACGGCUCACCAAGGCGACGAUACAUAGCCGACCUGAGAGGGUGAUCGGCCACACUGGGACUGAGACACGGCCCAGACUCCUACGGGAGGCAGCAGUAGGGAAUCUUCGGCAAUGGGGGGAACCCUGACCGAGCAACGCCGCGCGAGUGAAGAAGGUUUUCGGAUCGUAAAGCUCUGUUGUAAGAGAAGAACGGGUGUGAGAGUGGAAAGUUCACACUGUGACG